CCAGAGGGCCGGGCGGUCGCCGCGCAGCGAUGCGGGGAGGAAAGUCCGGGCUCCAAGGAGUGACGGUGCCGGGUAACGCCCGGCGGGGGCGACCCCAGGGACAGUGCCACAGAAAGCAGACCGCCCGGCGGGUCCGGUUUCCGGGCUCCGGGCAAGGUGGAAAGGGUGCGGUAAGAGCGCACCGCGGACCCGGCAACGGGAACGGCAUGGUAAACCCCACCGGGAGCAAGAUCGAAUAGGGACGGCGCAUGGGCUACUCCGCCCGGUCGUCCGGGUUGAUUGCUGGAGGCCGGAUGCAAGUCCGGUCCUAGAGGAAUGAUCGCCCAUCCGGCCGUGGAGCAAUCCUGGGCCGGUGGACAGAACCCGGCUUACAGGCCCUCUGGUAUU
rnacentral:RNase_P_RNA from 4 species